rnacentral:rRNA from 1 species
UAGGGAAUCUUCCGCAAUGGGCGAAAGCCUGACGGAGCAACGCCGCGUGAGUGAUGAAGGUCUUCGGAUCGUAAAACUCUGUUAUUAGGGAAGAACAAAUGUGUAAGUAACUAUGCACGUCUUGACGGUACCUAAUCAGAAAGCCACGGCUAACUACGUGCCAGCAGCCGCGGUAAUACGUAGGUGGCAAGCGUUAUCCGGAAUUAUUGGGCGUAAAGCGCGCGUAGGCGGUUUUUUAAGUCUGAUGUGAAAGCCCACGGCUCAACCGUGGAGGGUCAUUGGAAACUGGGAAACUUGAGUGCAGAAGAGGAAAGUGGCAUUCCAUGUGUAGCGGUGAAAUGCGCAGAGAUAUGGAGGAACACCAGUGGCGAAGGCGACUUUCUGGUCUGUAACUGGCGCUGAUGUGCGAAAGCGUGGGGAUCAAACAGG